rnacentral:lncRNA from 1 species
UGCUGGCAGGUUUGUGAGAGGGUCUCUUUGAAAAAUUUUGUGAGAGCUUUUGUGAGGGUAGCUUCUAGUUGAGAGAGAUUUGGGUAUGAAGAAUUGAGAGUGUUGCCCAGAUAUGGAGCCUAAGAGAGGGGGUGAAUUAGAUCUUUUUAAAAUUUUCAAGAUUAGUGCACUUAAAUAAUGUGCUAAGGUGUUGAGUGGAAUGAGUUGAUUUGC